rnacentral:rRNA from 1 species
AAACGGGGAUUAAUACCGCAUAAUAUGCCGAGGUCGCAUGACUUUGGUAUUAAAGCAGCAAUGCACUUAGAGAUGAGUGUGCGUCCCAUUAGGUAGUUGGUGAGGUAAGGCCCCCUCACCAAGCCUAUGAUGGGUAGCCGGUCUGAGAGGAUGGUCGGCCACACGGGCACUGAGACACGGGCCCGACUCCUACGGGAGGCAGCAGUAAGGAAUAUUGGUCAAUGGUGGAAACACUGAACCAGCCAUGCCGCGUGGAGGAAUAAGGUCCUACGGAUUGUAAACUCCUUUUGACGAGGAAGAAAGUGUUAGAUUUAUCUAAUUUUGACGGUACUCGUAGAAUAAGCACCGGCUAACUCCGUG